CACGGUGGAUGCCUUGGCACUAGAAGCCGAUGAAGGACGUUACUAACGACGAUAUGCUUUGGGGAGCUGUAAGUAAGCUUUGAUCCAGAGAUUUCCGAAUGGGGAAACCCAGCAUGAGUUAUGUCAUGUUAUCGAUAUGUGAAUACAUAGCAUAUCAGAAGGCACACCCGGAGAACUGAAACAUCUUAGUACCCGGAGGAAGAGAAAGAAAAUUCGAUCCCCUUAGUAGCGGCGAGCGAAACGGGAAGAGCCCAAACCAACAAGCUUGCUUGUUGGGGUUGUAGGACACUCUAUACGGAGUUACAAAGGACGACAUUAGACGAAUCAUCUGGAAAGAUGAAUCAAAGAAGGUAAUAAUCCUGUAGUCGAAAAUGUUGUCUCUCUUGAGUGGAUCCUGAGUACGACGGAGCACGUGAAAUUCCGUCGGAAUCUGGGAG
rnacentral:rRNA from 1 species